AGUUCAAACGGUUCUAGAGUAUAGCAAUCGAGCUUCUUCUUCUGUUGUAUGAAACAAGAUGUCCUCACUUCAUUAUUGAAUCAACGUGUAUAAUCAGAAGGAUUUUUAUUUUCUUCAGUAUCCAUGCAAUACCAGAAACAACCCGGAUUAUGCAGGGAGUGGAAAUCUCAUCCUUGGACGUUCUUAUUUUUCGAAUUUUUCUUCGGCUCGGAAAAAUCACAUUAUGCUCACUCACCACCCAGACAGACAACCCGACGGUUAGUUUUCUUACUAGCUGUGGGGAUCCACACUUCAUCAUCGUCUGGAGACGGUUUCCGGCAGCACUUGGAACAGACUUUACGAGCUUCGGGCUAGAAUCGCAUCGACAGACUGACGACAGGGAACGAAUUUGCUCCAGCCGAGGCCAUUCCAUCGUCGGUUUCCACAGUCUGUCGAUUUCCAUUGUGUGGCUGUUGGCCGCUCCCAAAACUACGUAUACACUACCACCCAAAACCAGAGCAGCCAGCAGGGAGCACAAACCGUAAUCAUUUGCAUGCUGAGAGAAUGUCGGGGAGCUUUUUCUCACGAUGUCCGAUGGGAAAACGGAUAUCAUCCGAUAAACGCUCUUGUUUGUUAAGGAAAUAUCACUCGGAGGAAAAUACAAAAUACUCCUUCCGAUGUGGGGUGUUAUUGAUAGUUGGAGACACUCUGGUUUCGAUAGAUUAUUCUGGUUGGGUAUAGGUUAUU